rnacentral:tRNA from 1 species
GGAGAGAUGGCUCAGUGGUUAAAGCACUGACUGCUCUUCCAGGGGUCCUGAGUUCAAUUUCCAGCAACCACA